GUGCUCGCUGCAGCCGCACAUAUACUAAAAUUGUAUAGUAUUAUGAUUAGCAUGGCCCCUGAGCAAGGAUGACAUGCAGACUUGUGAAGCAUUCCUUAUUUUG
rnacentral:snRNA from 1 species